GCCAUGCCCAAAAGAAGAAGAAGAGGAAGAGUAGGUUCACGGGCCGUCCUGCGUAGCGCCAUAAACGUUACUUUUUCUCGUGUUUUCCUUCAAACUACAAUGACGAGAAGAUCCACAGCCUGUGAGGAGAAGGUGGAGAGGACAGUGGCGGCCAGGGAAAGGAAGAAACACCGCAGAGAAGCCUUCAUAUGACGAAAGUGCCCUUCCCCUACGCCACCACCACAACCACCACUACCACAACCACCACCACCAAAUCACCACACUAAGCGUGAAGAUGUCGGGUCGUGACUCGUUGGUCCAUCGGCGCACCUUCCAGAACGCCAACCAGGUGGUGGAGUUGACCACACGCACCAUUCCCAAGGCUCAACACCACCAGCGAGGACAUCAACACCAAUCACCACCACCACCACCACCUUUCGCUCCCCCUGCGUUAGUGAUGCUAAGAAGAGAUCAUCUCUAUCCACCUCAUCAAACAGGGGGCUUCGUGGUGCAGUGGUUAGCACACUCGGCUCACGACCGAGAGAGCCCGGGUUCGAUUCCCGGGCGGAGUGGAAAAAUUUGGGCGGCUUUUCUGACACCCUACGCCCCUGUCCUCCCAGCAGUGAAUGGGUACCAGGUAUUAAUAGGGGGUUGUGUCCUGUCUCCUGGGAUCUGUUCCCUUCUCCUAUAAUUCCUUCCCCUUCUGUCUCUCUCUGGCAUAUGACCACAGAUGUUGCUCUGACUAAACCAAACUUUCCAACUGUUCCCUUCUCCUAUAAUUCCUUCCCCUUCUGUCUCUCUCCGGCAUAUGACCACAGAUGUUGCUCUGACUAAACCAAACUUUCCAACUGUUCCCUUCUCCUAUAAUUCCUUCCCCUUCUGUCUCUCUCCGGCAUAUGACCACAGAUGUUGCUCUGACUAAACCAAACUUUCCAACUGUUCCCUUCUCCUAUAAUUCCUUCCCCUUCUGUCUCUCUCCGGCAUAUGACCACAGAUAUUGCACCCAAUAAACAAAACUUUCCAACUCUUUCCUCAUCAAACUUAUUUACCAACUUGUACAGUGUGAUCAAAUCUCCUCUCUCCCUUCUUUGUUCCAGUGUCGUCAAGUCCAUCUCCCUCAAUCUGUCUUCAUACGUCAUAUUUGAGAGUUCUGGGACCAUUUUGUUGCAAUUCUCUGUCUUGAGUCCAACAUAAUAAUCUUCCUUUGCAUAGUUUUUCCUUUUUUCCUUAUAUGCCUCAUCUUGGUAUUCAAAUCCUUCCAUAGUUUUCAUCUGUCAUAGUUGAUGGCCAUUCUUUCCUAAGGGGCACUCGUGACUGACUCCUUCAUCUAACUCAACAUUUUUUGUGAAAAUUAGGUCAAGUCUUGAUGGUUGGUCAUCCCCUCUUAGCCUUGUUUCUCCUUUAACCCACUGCAUCAACAGAUUAUCACAUCAGGUGUGUGUGUGUGUGUGUGUGUGUGUGUUUAGCUAGUUGUUGUAUUUACCUAGUUGUAGUUUUAUAGGGCCUGGGCUUGACGUUCGUGUGGUCCCGUCUCUGUAUCUACAUUUAUCCAACUUUUCCUUGAAGCUUUGCACACUCCUUUCUGAUACUACAUCCUCACUUAGUCUGUUCCAAACCUCUAUAUUUCUUUGCGGGAAGCUAUAUUUCUUUAUGUCUCUCAAGCAUCUUCCCUUCCUCAAUUUUUUACUGUGUCCUCUUGUGUUCCUGGUGGUAAUUUCUUCUUUUAGUAGUAACUCCUCGUUGUCUACUUCUUCCAUUUUGCUCAAUAAUUUGUAGAUUUGUAUUAGGUCUCCCGUUUCUCUUCUUUGUUCUAGUGUUGGUAAGUCCAUUUCCUUUAGUCUCUCCUCGUAUGUCAAUCCCUGGAACCAUUUUUGUUGCCAUCUUUUGUAUUCUUUCUAGUUUCUUGAUGUGUUUCUUCUUAUGGGGAGACCACACUGCCUCUGCAUGUGUGUGUGUGUGUGUGUGUAAGAUUGACUGACUGAUGAAUGAAUAACUGUGAUUAAUUAGGCUGGUAUUACAAAACACUUUCCCUUCUCACAUCAGCUAUUUCUAAAGGUCAAAGUGGGAUAUCAAUCAGGUUCUAAUGAGUGUUUUUCAGGCUCAUGGUACAGAAGAAGGGUUAAACUACCACCAGGGUCAUAAAACUACUCCUGGAAAUGCCCACAACUCCUGCGAAAGCCUUGUCAAAUAGGUGUUCUUGGGCGGUGAAAUAGCUUAUAAUACGACCCUAAGUAAAUAACUUCCUGAUGGAGUGGAUGAUUGACUUGGCAUCUUGUAGCUUUACUCUCAGCUAUUUCAAGUUCCCGACUGAUGUACUAACACCCUCAGAUUGGCUACAGUGAAGGUCGUGGCAGAGAGUGUACUCAAACUCCUACUGUGAGCUACUCCUGAUGCCUGCGCCCUCACCACCCCUGUGAAGGACGCCCAGCUGACCCAACCCUCCACGUGUGCCCCUGAGAGCUCCCUGCAGCACAGCGAGUCUCUUCUUGGACGGCUCAGAGGCACAGAAGAUGUAGCCAGACUUGCCGGCCAAACCCGAGGGUGUGUGUUGAUGUUGGGACCAAGAAGAAGAAGAAGAGGAGAAAAAGGAGGAAGAUGAUGAUAAAGGCAACAGGAAGAUCAGAAGAAGAAGAGGAGGAAGAAUGGAAGAAGAGAAGAGAACACACACACACACACACACACACACACACAUAUGACAAACACCUUUUUCUAUAUUUUUCAUUUUUAUUAGUCCAUACAACAUACAUUAGCUAUAUACAUAUAAUACAACAUAUGCAUAACUAUAUACAUUAGAUCAUAGAGUGAGUGAGUGAGACUCGAGAGGCGAGAUAGAGGUGCCCCCCCCUCUCUCUCUCUCUCUCUCUCUCUCUCUCUCUCUCUCUCUCUCUCUCUCUCUCUCUCUCUCUCACCUCACCACAGCUCACAGGACCCUACAGAUGUACCUCCCACAGUAUGUUGACAACCGCCCACAGACACAUACCCCCCCAGCCUCAUGAAGGACCCCCUUCUCCUUCCCUCCCCCCCUAGCCAACAUAGCACCCACAUAGCCUUAUCAAAGUUACUAUGUAUAUGUAUGUAUGUGUGUUUUUCUAUUAAUGAAAAGUUAAUUUGUAA